GACAGACCUCCCACCUGCUCACAAGCCAGCUCCACCCCCUCCAAAAAAGAAGACCAGUGAUCUCAAAGGCCACCUGACAUCUGAAGAUAUUCAGGUGGUUCACUUGGACAAAGAUGAGGAAAUGCAGAAGCUUCCUCUCCAGCCUCCUUACUAUGACAUGGCACCCUCUGAGUCCACUGCCUUCACUGAUAAGGUGAACUCUGGCCACAAGGACUGUGAUGUCCAGUAUGCGGAGCUGGAUACUGCAGCUUUGGCCUCCUCUCCCAGCCCACGAAGCUCUGCUCACACUGGCGGGGACCUGGUCGAGUAUGCAACCAUCCAGCCUAGCUCACACUAGCGCAUGCCAUUGUAGGCCUUUCCCCUAAGACUCUGGCCUCAAGAACACUGGGAACCGUUUCGAAGAGCUAUCAACCCCGACUGAAUAUGUGAGCUACCAUCAUGCCUGCAACCAGGAUCACCGUAUUGAGAUACCGGCUUCCUCUUCCUACACUCCCAUCACCCUCCUGCCUCAGAACCCCUAUCCUCCACAGCCUCCUA